rnacentral:rRNA from 1 species
AGAGACAGCAGCAGCCACGGUAAUACGUAGGUCCCGAGCGUUGUCCGGAUUUAUUGGGCGUAAAGCGAGCGCAGGCGGUUAGAUAAGUCUGAAGUUAAAGGCUGUGGCUUAACCAUAGUACGCUUUGGAAACUGUUUAACUUGAGUGCAAGAGGGGAGAGUGGAAUUCCAUGUGUAGCGGUGAAAUGCGUAGAUAUAUGGAGGAACGCCGGUGGCGAAAGCGGCUCUCUGGCUUGUAACUGACGCUGUGGCUCGAAAGCGUGGGGAGCAAACAGGAUUAGAGACCCCGGUAGUCCCUGUCUCUUAUACA